GCCCGGCUAGCUCAAUCGGUAGAGCGUGAGACUCUUAUCCUUCGAGUCCCCGGACUUGCGAGAACUGAACAAUCUCAAGGCUGUGGGUUCGACCCCCACGUCGGGCU